ensembl:lncRNA
CAAAAAUUGAAAUUCAAAAAGAAAAGCUCCCUGAUAAGUAUUCACUGAAGUAAAGAGCAUGACAACUAGCCCCAAUCUCCACAACAGUGCAAACAUAUUCUGUAACAGACAUAAAUCUUUAUGAUAUAACAUUCCACUUUUUAUCUCACACUUCUAACUUCAUUUUGCAAGUUUAUUUCUCAUCCUAUUAGUCCUCCCCACCCCCACCCCUCUCUCUCUCUCUCUCUCUCUCUCUCUCUCUCUCUCUCUCUCUCUCUCUCUCUCUUCGACCCAUUCAAGAAACUUCACCUCCUGCCCUGUAAAGACAGAGGCUCCUGCAGCCUGCGCUGUUAUCAUCUCACACCUCUUAGGAGCUCUAGGCCAAUUAUAUGUUUUAUUGUUAAUUUUGAAAUAAUUUCACUUGAUUGUUUUUAAAAAUGUCCCAUGGGAUCUGCAAGACAAAGACCAUCAAGAUUGCAUAUGAUAAACAUGUUGCCACAUUUAUUGCAACUCUCUUGACUUCAUGCACACCAUGAUGGCCUAGGGCCGCUGACAACUUGCUGAUAUUUGUAUGUUGUCUAACUCUGCUGACAUGCACUUCGUAAGGUGUCAUGAUAACAUUACAACCCAGGAAUGACAGAAUUAAGUAAAAGAUCAAAUUUUUCAACCAAAUUGAAACGACAUCUUGUCCAUUUAAUUAUAUGGGGGCAUGUUUUUCAUAUUUGGCUCUAAACACUGAGAAUGUUCGUAAGAUUGUUUGUUUAUAUGUUUAUUUGUCUGCUGCCUCUUUGGGAACCAGAACAGCAGGUGUGGGGAGAAGUAAUGACAGGACUCCGUUUUACUGGCUGUCACAUCCCAGCAUGCUUGCUGCUGUCCAGUCGAGUGCACCGACUGAAAGAUGACAAGCUGACAGCUCACCACACAGGAUACCAGGCGUCUAAUGACAUUCUACUUUUGCGAGAUGGGUUUCCAGAAUUACUGAUGUCCAUCUGUCUCAGCAUCCUGCCAAGACCUCUCAGUUCACUUCCAGAUAGACACUCUCAUGGUGGAGG